AUCAAUAUGUUUCAAUUAUGGUCCUCUUCCAGUUAGAAUAUGACUAAAGUACCUUGACCUUAUUGAAUAUGAACAAUUUCCCCAUGGUGACUUACUUUAUACUGUCAAGCACUUGAAUAGUCGAGCGCGCUAUCUUCAGACGGCUCUUGUUUGCUUUCUCAUCGACAUUUCCAUUUUAACAUUUAGUAGCCAAAAGGGUUCAAGUCCCCUUGGUCUCGCAAGAACGUACUGCCUGAAUUACGUUGAUCCACCAGGUUUUGAAGUAAAAACCGUCAAUGAUGUCAUAGGCGAAGGAGUCUUUGCCACUAAGCCUUUUAAAAAAGGAGACUUUCUUCUCGAAUACAAAGGGGAUCUGAUUACACGAGUAAAACAUGCACGGCAAUUAGAAAUGGAAUAUGAAAAGGAGGGUCAAGGCAGCUUCAUUUACUUUUUUAAAUACAGAGACAAAUCUUGCUGCAUUGACGCAACCAACGAUAUAUUUCAUGAGGUUCGAAUGAUAAAUGAUGCCGAAAAUGGAGACGCAAAACAAAGUUGUGUAAUGAAAAUAGUUGAAGUCAACCAAACUCCCCAUCUAUGCACUUUCGCCGACAGAGACAUUGCAAUUGGCGAGGAACUCUGAUAUGAUUAUGGAGUACCAACACUUCCAUGGAGAAAGGCAACACAAUGACUACUAGAUCUACAGACAGCCAGGAACCAGGACAAACAACAUCCAUGCACACGGAAGAAGUCAAUGAGACGAAAUGUACGGAACAAAAAUGGGCAACACAAUGACUACUAGAUCUACAGACAGCCAGGAACCAGGACAAACAACAUCCGUACACACGGAAGAAGUCGAUGAGACGAAAAGGGUACUUCAAAUACCAGGAGAACAAAACAAGCAGCCAAAAAGCAAUGGAGUGAAAACGAAAAAGGAGCUGUUCACAGACACUUUGAUCGUUUUUUGAUAAUGGGUAAAUCACCAGGGAAGAAAGAAAUACUUGCAUGUAUUGAAAGUGAGAAUGACCUUCACUACCGAAGUUGGAAAAAUGUCAAAGACUUUUGCAGAAAUUUAAUUCAAACAAAAAAGCGACGGGGACUUUUAACUUAAAAAAAUAUUACACAUAUAAUGCACGUUUAGGAGAAUACGUUAAAGGAUGAAGUUGCCACAUUUUUUUGUGUUUCUUGUUCAAUACUCUUUUCGAAAACGAUAUAUGUGUGCUCAUUGUAUUUGAAUGUUUUAUUAAUACGGUUCAGUCAAAAACGAUAUUUGUUCGUAAUCAUAUCGCCGAACAAAUUAGGAUUGGUAUAUAGUUCGGCCAAAGAGUGUUUCUUUGUACUUUCUAUUACGAGUUUCUACGAGUUACUCACUAUUCAAGUUAUUUUUACCCUAAACUUGGUGAAUAUGAAUGAAUAUAGCAAACAUGAUAACAUAUCAAUCUAGAAGGCUAAACAUUCAGAGAAGGCACAAAAAAAUUCAGUCGGAUAAAUGGAAACAAACAUUUUGUUCAAGCACAACAAACAAACACUUUUAGAUGUAAUAAGAUAAAUGUAAAUAACAUAAAAAAACUACUGCUUAACUACUGCUACAAUAUGAAGAAUACAAAUGAAUAUUUUGUCAAUUUUACAAAAUUUGUUUUGAAUGACAGGUGUCUGACUUGCAGUUAAGUACUUAAUAGUUAUUUUAAAGUAAAAAUUUACCAAAAUGUAAAUUAGUGCGUAAAUAUCGCACUAGAAUUGAUUAAAUAGUUGUUAAAUAUUACAAUAAUUUCCUACACAGAUUUUGUGCAUUUGUUUUGCGUGUAGAUAUUCACAUUAACUAUCAAUUCACAUAUUUGCUUUGUGUAUAUAAUUGGUAUGUUUAUAUGUUUUUCAUAUCAAAAUUGAUUGAUCUACAAAAAUUCGCGAGGAGUUAUGCAUUUUUCCCAUGUUUUUAAUUGAAGUUUAUAAUUCAACGACGAUGAAAAUUACUAAGAUGCCAGAUUUAGUUAUUGUUUUGUCUCGUUUAUGGUUAAAGAUCAAUUAACAUACCCAUUUCCCAGACUAAGAUAUUGUUAAAACAAUUUAUCGCGUUUGCGACUGACCUCUUUUAUGCAUUCUAACACAAGCUAUUUACUUGUUUUUUCGAGUAAUCUUCAUAUACACACACUUGAACAAGCUGUAGAUUACCUAGAACAAAACAUAUUUGAAACAUAUAUUUAUAUGUGAUAUGUAAAUGCAUGAACAAAGCUAAUAAUUAAUCAUGUUUAUACACUUUGCGAUAUGAUGCUAUAAUGUCGGUUGUUUUAAGUGAUUAAUCAUUAUGUUAACCAUGUUAUCUGCCAUCUGGAAUGUAAUUAAGUGUUUUGACAUGCAUGCGAAAUUGAUCUUGUUCGAUUUGGUGCUGUAUAUUCAGUAUUGAGUCACACUGUUAUAAUUUUCCUGUUGGUACAUAUUAUUUUUAAGUUGGUUCCGACAAGGGUCUAACAAUUGAUCCACAUGUGCACUCCCCAGUAAGUAUAUAUAUACUAUAAUGUAAGUGAUUUAAAAUAAUAUUAAACUACGUGUUUGAUAAGUGUUUGCUUUGGUUCAUAUUUAAUUAUUAGUGUAUUUAUAUAAUGAUAAUGCUGUCAAAGUCAGCGAUGAUUAUACGUGUAUAACAACAUUACUUAUAUUUUUUAUAUUGUUUUCAACCAAUAAUAUAUGGAUGACACAUCGGCAUAACUUUUCAGUGCUUAAA